rnacentral:rRNA from 1 species
AGUGAACGCUGGCGGUAGGCCUAACACAUGCAAGUCGAACGGCAGCACAGUAAGAGCUUGCUCUUACGGGUGGCGAGUGGCGGACGGGUGGGGAAUACAUCGGAAUCUACUUUUUCGUGGGGGAUAACGUAGGGAAACUUACGCUAAUACCGCAUACGACCUACGGGUGAAAGCAGGGGAUCUUCGGACCUUGCGCGAUUGAAUGAGCCGAUGUCGGAUUAGCUAGUUGGCGGGGUAAAGGCCCACCAAGGCGACGAUCCGUAGCUGGUCUGAGAGGAUGAUCAGCCAUACUGGAACUGAGACACGGUCCAGACUCCUACGGGAGGCAGCAGUGGGGAAUAUUGGACAAUGGGCGCAAGCCUGAUCCAGCCAUACCGCGUGGGUGAAGAAGGCCUUCGGGUUGUAAAGCCCUUUUGUUGGGAAAGAAAAGCAGCAGGUUAAUACCCCGCUGUUCUGACGGUACCCAAAGAAUAAGCACCGGCUAACUUCGUG